AGAAAAGAAAAUGUAGGCAUAAGUAACGAUAAAGGGGGCGAGAAACCCCCUCACCGAAAGACUAAGGUUUCCUCAGCCAUGCUAAUCAGCUGAGGGUUAGUCGGGACCUAACGCGAACCCGAAAGGGGUAGUGGAUGGACAAUGGGUUAAUAUUCCCAUACUUGCUCACACUAAAAAGGGGACGGAGUGACGUAGCUGCUGGAGACUGACGGAAUAGUCAAGGCCUAGCCUUCGGGCGAAGCUGCUGUAGUGAACUCGCUUCCAAGAAAAGCCGAAGUGAAGCAACCCGUACCAAAACCGACACAGGUAGUCGAGGAGAGAAUCCUAAGGUGCUCGAGUGAGUCGUGGCUAAGGAACUAGGCAAAAUAGUCUCGUAACUUCGGAAGAAGAGACGCCAGCAGCAAUGCUGGCCGCAGUGAAGAGGCCCAGGCGACUGUUUAUCAAAAACACAGGACUCUGCUAAAUCGAAAGAUGCUGUAUAGGGUCUGACACCUGCCCGGUGCUGGAAGGUUAAGGAAGGGCGUUAGCGUAAGCGAAGCGUUUGACUGAAGCCCCAGUAAACGGCGGCCGUAACUAUAACGGUCCUAAGGUAGCGAAAUUCCUUGUCGGGUAAGUUCCGACCUGCACGAAUGGGACGAAAAGACCCUGUGAACCUUUACUAUAACUUCGUAUUGACUUUGAGUAAGUAAUGUGUAGGAUAGGUGGGAGACUUUGAAGCGGGCACGCUAGUGUUCGUGGAGUCAACGUUGAAAUACCACCCUUUACUUACUUGGAGCCUAACUUCUUUCAGAAGGACAUUGCGUGGUGGGUAGUUUGACUGGGGUGGUCGCCUCCAAAAGAGUAACGGAGGCUUUCAAAGGUACCCUCAGCACGCUUGGUAACCGUGCGUAGAGUGUAAUGGCAUAAGGGUGCUUGACUGUGAGACCUACAAGUCGAUCAGGUGCGAAAGCAGGACAUAGUGAUCCGGUGGUUCCGUAUGGAAGGGCCAUCGCUCAUAGGAUAAAAGGUACUCCGGGGAUAACAGGCUAGUCUCCCCCAAGAGCUCACAUCGACGGGGAGGUUCGGCACCUCGAUGUCGGCUCGUCACAUCCUGGGGCUGGAGAAGGUCCCAAGGGUUGGGCUGUUCGCCCAUUAAAGUGGCACGCGAGCUGGGUUCAGAACGCAGGUGCACCGCUGAGUAGCUACGUUUGGAAGAGAUAAGCACUGAAAGCAUAUAAGUGCGAAACUCGCCUCAAGAUGAGACAUCUUUUAAGGGUCGUUGGAGAUGACCGUCGAUAGGCUACAGGUGUAAAGUUGGUAACAGCAUAGCCGAGUAGUACUAAUUACCCGUAGAUUUAUAGCCUAUUUAAUUAAUUGUUGA
rnacentral:rRNA from 1 species